GCGCCCGUAGCUCAUGAGGAUAGAGCAUCAGCCUUCUAAGCUGAGGGUAGCAGGUUCGAGUCCUGCCGGGCGCGCCA
rnacentral:tRNA from 1 species